GACGAACGCUGGCGGCGUGCUUAACACAUGCAAGUCGAACGGAAAGGCCCUGCUUUUGUGGGGUUCUCGAGUGGCGAACGGGUGAGUAACACGUGAGUAACCUGCCCUUGACUUUGGGAUAACUUCAGGAAACUGGGGCUAAUACCGGAUAGGAUCUCCUGCUGCAUGGUGGGGGUUGGAAAGUUUCGGCGGUUGGGGAUGGACUCGCGGCUUAUCAGCUUGUUGGUGGGGUAGUGGCUUACCCAGGCUUUGACGGGUAGCCGGCCUGAGAGGGUGACCGGCGACAUUGGGACUGAGAGACGGCCCAGACGCCUACGGGAGGCAGCAGUGGGGAAUAUUGCACAAUGGGCGGAAGCGUGAGGCAGCAACGCCGCGUGCGGGAUGACGGCCUGCGGGUUGUAAACCGCUGUCGCCUGUGACGAAGCGUGAGUGACGGUAAUGGGUAAAGAAGCACCGGCUAACUACGUG
rnacentral:rRNA from 1 species